CCUACGGGUGGCAGCAGUCGAGAAUCAUUCACAAUGGGGGAAACCCUGAUGGUGCGACGCCGCGUGGGGGAAUGAAGGUCUUCGGAUUGUAAACCCCUGUCAUGUGGGAGCAAAUUAAAAAGAUAGUACCACAAGAGGAAGAGACGGCUAACUCUGUGCCAGCAGCUGCGGUAAUCCAGAGGUCUCAAGCGUUGUUUGGAAUCACUGGGCGUAAAGGGUGCGUAGGCUGUUGCGUAAGUCGUGUGUGAAAGGCGCGGGCUCAACCCGCGGAGGGCACAUGAUACUGCGAGACUAGAGUAAUGGAGGGGGAACCGGAAUGCUCGGUGUAGCAGUGAAAUGCGUAGAUAUCGAGAGGAACCC
rnacentral:rRNA from 1 species